UACUGUCACGUGAGAGCGUUCUACCCAAUCAUACUCUUACUCGAUAUAUACCAGGUUGACCAAAUUCUCUUUUUUAACUGAUCUGUACCGGAUGCUCGUGGAGUGUGGUAGUUUAAUAAUUUCUUAGCUUAUUCGUUGUAUCGUGUAGGGUAAUGUGGAAUAACGAAAUGGACUAAUAAUAAUAGUAAUGCUCUAGAGGAAAAAAAUAUUCAUGUUACAAUAAGCACGGUAAAAAUGCUCGUCAUUUAAAAAGUGAAGAACCGAUUUUAGUACUCGCGAUACUUCAUACUAUUAGUAUUACUAAAAAGAAAAUCACACUCACAGUAUAAAUUAUUUUUAUUUUGUAUUUUUAAACUAAGUUCAAGUACCUAGAUUUUGCUUUGAGUUUGAACUAUUUUACUAGUUUAGUAAUAAUAGUGUUUUGAUUUCUUAAGUUAACUAAGCCAGAGCUUCACGAUAGACGUAGUUUCACAUUGGGACAGUGAUAUUGUGGAGGCUCAAGAGCAUUUAAGAAUCAUUCAACAACACUUGUAAUGAUAAUGCACAAGAAGAGCCUGCUGUUAGGCUUACUCUACUGUGAAGCAUGAAAUGGUAGUUAUCAACAUGAACAGUAUUGGAGAAGAAUGCAAUAAGCUGAAACAUGAUUCAAUAUAUGCACAUAUCCUAUGCUGAAAGAAAUAUCCUUCUACAACCUAUGAAUGUGCUGGUUCAACUCAGGCUUUAUAAGGGAGUAGCAUCUUUCUUAUUUGACAGGCUCCUUGGUGGGCCAUUGCUUAAUGAUAGCAACUUUACCAAUCUUGCAUGGCCCCAUACUCACAUGUGGGAUUUUUCAUCAUCAUUGUCUACUUCCAAUGGUACAGUUCUGGUUCCAGUGGAGAUGGAAAGAUAUGAAACUGCUAGUACAGGAUCUCUAGAAAGCUAUUGAAGCACAAAAGAUAGACCUGUGGGAACUUGAAAAGGAUGUGUUAGGGACAGAACAAGAACAGAAACCAAAUCCAAAGAAAAGAAGUGAUGGAAAAACAUGACUUGAGCUUUAAUUAAUUAGAAAACUGAAGUUAUGGAGAUUGUAUAAUCUGAAGAGUGCUUAGUUGAAUGAAAAGAAAUUGGUCUGAUAUCCAUUGAAUAGGUUUUGCUGAAUGUGUUGAUAGAUAGCAGAAAGUUAGAUUUUUUUUUGCAUGAUACCGAAUGUUAGUGGAAAUUUCUUUUGCUGCAGCUUAGAAAAUAUCUUGAUCUAAAACAGCAAUAAUAUGGUAACAAAAAUGCUGGUCUUAUUUUCUAUUUAAAUUUAGUUGAAUCUUCUUGGAAGAAAGGGCAAACAUUUUUAUUGGAAUGGAAAAGUUCAACAGUAACAUAUAGAAAACUAUAAUGUUUGUAAAUAUUUACAUUAUGAAAAUUGAACAACAUUUAGGAAGUACUAAUGCUUAUUAAUCAUAUAAGGAUUGUGUUGUUACUGGUAAAAGAAAAGAAUUUUCUAGGUUUUUGUAUCAGAAAAUUUUAAAACAUCAUUAGAGAGUUGCACCUCUUGAUAAUUGGUGUGAAACAUGUUUGAUCUACAUGACUGAGUCUUGUAGAAGAUUAUUUGCAUUGAGAAAUAAAUACAGUAUGCAUUUGCUAAUGAAUUUUGUAAUUGAAAACUAUAAUGCAUAUUAAUUGCUUUUCAGGAACAUUUUUUUUCUAAAAGUGUUUGGAUGAACUAAAUCAAGAAUUCUUUUGUAUUCUUAGUUCCAUGUAAGCAAUCAUAUCCAAGCAAAAUCUCAUUAAAUUUUGCAUGAUAUUUUAAAAUAUGUCUGAUUGCUAUUAUCUUUUUUUGAAAGAAAAAUAUACUCUUUAUUCCUCCUUUAAGUUGCUUUGCUCUAUAGUUGAAAUUCAUUUUCAAGACUGCAUUUUAUUGUUGUCUGGUACUACUUGUCAUGUAUUCUUUGCUGCAACAAUACUUGUAGAUUAUAUGUAAUAGACAACUGCUUUAUAAACUUCCCUAAUAGAGUGGUUUAGUAGUAUGGAAGUGAUGAUUUAUAACUGUCAGUGCAGAAAUGUUUUAGUUAUAAUUCUUCUUAAUACAAGGUCUAGAUCACACUUCUGUUUAUAUAAGGAAAUGCCUUAAGAAACAGUGUUUAUUUUGGCUGUAGAAUCUGAGUGUUUGCUGAUGUUUUUAACUUACUAAUAAGAGGUUUGUGAUAAUUAGUUUCUGGACCAUACCUUCAAUUUCAGUGAUUACUUUCUAGACUUUGCAUCCAAUGUUAGUAAUCACCUCAUAGACUUUACAGUUGGUGUUAGUAAUCACUUUAUAGACUUUACACUCAAUGUCAGUAUUUGUGUCCUAGACUUUACAUCUAAUGUUAGUGAUCUAUUUCUAAGCUGUAUAUUUAAUGUCAGUAAUUACUUCUUAGACCUUAUAUUUAGUGCCAGUGAUCACUUCCUAGACUUUGCAACCUUGCAUUCAAUGUCAGUAAUCACUUGCUAGACCAUACAUUCAGUGUCAGUAAUCACUUGCUAGACCAUACAUUCAGUGUCAGUAAUCACUUGCUAGACCAUACAGUCAGUGUCAGUAAUCACUUGCUAGACCAUACAAUCAGUGUCAGUAAUCAUUUGCUAGACCAUACAUUCAGUGUCAGUAAUCACUUGCUAGACCAUACAUUCAGUGUCAGUAAUCACUUCUUAAACCUUAUAUUUAGUGUCAGUGAUCACUUUCUAGACUUUGCAACCUUGCAUUCAAUGUCAGUAAUCACUUGCUAGACCAUGCAUUCAGUGUCAGUAAUCACUUGCUAGACCAUGCAUUCAGUGUCAGUAAUCACUUGCUAGACCAUACAUUCAGUGUCAGUAAUCACUUCUUAGACCUUAUAUUUAGGGUCAGUGAUCACUUUCUAGACUUUGCAACCUUGCAUUCAAUGUCAGUAAUCACUUCUUAGACCUUAUAUUUAGUGUCAGUGAUCACUUCCUAGACUUUGCAACCUUGCAUUCAAUAUCAGUAAUCACUUGCUAGACCAUACAUUCAAUGUCAGUAAUCACUUGCUAGACCAUACAUUCAAUGUCAGUAAUCACUUGCUAGACCAUACAUUCAAUGUCAGUAAUCACUUGCUAGACCAUACAUUCAGUGUCAGUAAUCACUUGCCAGACCAUACAUUCAGUGUCAGUAAUCAAUUGCCAGACCAUACAUUCAAUGUCAGUAAUCACUUGCCAGACCAUACAUUCAGUGUCAGUAAUCACUUGCUAGACCAUACAUUCAGUGUCAGUAAUCACUUGCUAGACCAUACCUUCAAUGUCAGUAAUCAUUAUUUGACCAAACAUCUAUUUACUUAAUUAAUUACAAAUAUAAUUCACAUCUUAUAAAAAAAAUAUGCUGUUUUAUGAAAAUUCCUUUCUUUUAAAGGAUUGCUGUAAGAUAACUUGAGAAUUUUAUUGUAAAACCAGAAGAAGAAUUUUGAAAGGAUUUUUUUAAGGAUAGAAGAAGAGUUUGAAGGGUUUUGUCCUGAGGUCAAAAUUAAAUAUUUGAAGGGUUUUAUUGUUGGUUGGAAUGAAAUGGUUGAAUGGAUUUAUUGUAAGAUGAAAUUAGAGUAUUUGAUUUUAUGAGAUGAAUACAGACAAUUGCUUUAUUGUGGGGUUAAUAAAUUCUUGAUUGAGAUUUA
rnacentral:misc_RNA from 1 species